rnacentral:rRNA from 1 species
AGUGAACGCUGGCGGUAGGCCUAACACAUGCAAGUCGAACGGCAGCACAGUAAGAGCUUGCUCUUACGGGUGGCGAGUGGCGGACGGGUGAGGAAUACAUCGGAAUCUACUUUUUCGUGGGGGAUAACGUAGGGAAACUUACGCUAAUACCGCAUACGACCUACGGGUGAAAGCAGGGGAUCUUCGGACCUUGCGCGAUUGAAUGAGCCGAUGUCGGAUUAGCUAGUUGGCGGGGGAAAGGCCCACCAAGGCGACGAUCCGUAGCUGGUCUGAGAGGAUGAUCAGCCACACUGGAACUGAGACACGGUCCAGACUCCUACGGGAGGCAGCAGUGGGGAAUAUUGGACAAUGGGCGCAAGCCUGAUCCAGCCAUACCGCGUGGGUGAAGAAGGCGUUCGGGUUGUAAAGCCCUUUUGUUGGGAAAGAAAAGCAGCAGGUUAAUACCCCGCUGUUCUGACGGUAACCAAAGAAUAAGCACCGGCUAACUUCGUG